GUGGGGAAUAUUGGACAAUGGGCGGAAGCCUGAUCCAGCCAUGCCGCGUGUGUGAAGAAGGCCUUAUGGUUGUAAAGCACUUUAAGCGAGGAGGAGGCUACUCUAGUUAAUACCUAGAGAUAGUGGACGUUACUCGCAGAAUAAGCACCGGCUAACUCUGUGCCAGCAGCCGCGGUAAUACAGAGGGUGCGAGCGUUAAUCGGAUUUACUGGGCGUAAAGCGUGCGUAGGCGGCUGAUUAAGUCGGAUGUGAAAUCCCUGAGCUUAACUUAGGAAUUGCAUUCGAUAUUGGUCAGCUAGAGUAUGGGAGAGGAUGGUAGAAUUCCAGGUGUAGCGGUGAAAUGCGUAGAGAUCUGGAGGAAUACCGAUGGCGAAGGCAGCCAUCUGGCCUAAUACUGACGCUGAGGUACGAAAGCAUGGGGAGCAAACAGGAUUAGAUACCCUUGUAGUCC
rnacentral:rRNA from 1 species